UUUGCAGAGGAUGCUUUGGAUUUUGUUGUUUCGCAAGUCCUCUGGAAAGANNNCCCNNGGAGAGUGAAAGGCUCGUUCCGAAACAAGCAAUUUCCGUGUAAAGCUCCUUCGAAGAGUCGAGUUGUUUGGGAAUGCAGCUCUAAACGGGACGUAAAUUUGUUCCAAGGCUAAAUACCGGCUAGAGACCGAUAGCGCACAAGUAGAGUGAUCGAAAGAUGAAAAGCACUUUGAAAAGAGGGUUAAACAGUACGUGAAAUUGUUGAAAGGGAAGCGCAUAGCGCCAGACAUGGUUGCCAAGUUCAGCCUUACGGUGUAUUCUUGGUGAGCCAGGCCAGCAUCAGUUUGUGGAGCCGGAUAAAGACGGCCGG
rnacentral:rRNA from 1 species